CAUCGGUUUUUGAAAAACCGAUUUCUAUUUGUAUAAUUGACAUCAGUUUUUACUGUUAACUGAUGUCUAAAAUUUAGAUCAAAAAUUUUAAAAAACGCGGAAAGCCUAAGUUAAAAAUUUUCGUGCAAGCGGGAACCAAAUUAGAGUUGAUCCGUUUCCCACCCUACCUCACUCAUUUGCUCUGCUUUUCCCCGAAGCUCAAUUUCUCUAUCCCUCUCCUUCUCUCUCUCUCUCUCUCUCUCUCUCUCUCCUGAUCGAAACAAAACAGAAAACUCUAGAAAACGACUCGCUCUCUCUCACUCUCUCCCCGUCCUAAUCGACCCAAACCACAAAACCCUAGAAAAUAAAUAGAUAUCUUUGUGGUCAGCUCGGAGGUGGACUGGACGGAGCUGUGUGGGGCCGGAGGACGUGCAGCCUAGCAUUGACUCGUCGGAGGAAGGCAAAGAAGAUGGUGGCUCCAGUGAGUGUACCCCGAUGGUCGGAGAUCGGUGACAGAAGAAAGAGAGUCCUCCAGAUCCAUUUUCUCUCUCCUCCUGUUUCUCGUCUGUGCUUUUCUCUAGUCCCGUACUGUGGUCCUCUUUAGAGCUCUAGCUGUAAUUGAGAUAAGCAAUUAGUUGUGGGAGAGUUCGAACAUGGAGAGGCCCAUGUGGAAGGUUAGCUAAAGAAAGAUGUUUUUGGAUGAAGCUUGUGUGGUCUUUCUGGGUACCUACUCUGCAAAUUCUUUGGCAAUCUCAAGUGUAUAUUCAUUGUGAAAUUAAAAUUAUAUGUUUUAAUUUACUGCAUUACCUGGUGUAGCGAACAGUUUGAGUCUAGCAUCAGGUUCUUCAGGCAAUUUAUUCUUUUGUUCCUCGUGCAUCAAGUAGCAAUAUCACUAUUUCAUUUGAUUGCAUCCUUGGUCCAAAAUCAUUCUGUUGCAGGAACUGUCGGUCUAUUCUCUUUAAUAGUAAUGUAUCUAUUUGGUGGCUUUAUAAUUCCAAAAUGUAAGGGAGGCUAUUUGUGACUUCAGUAGAACUGUUUAAAAAUAUGUGGCAUUCAAUUAAUCUAAUAAGCAUUCCUAAUGCAGCUUCUCUACCUGCUUGGUUGGCAUGGGGAUUUUGGGUUUCUUCAUUGGCCUUUGCAGAACUAGGUGCUUCAAUAAAUGAAUUUCAAUUAGCAUUAGCAGUAGCAGUUUGGAGCUACGAUUAAAAGCAUUAGCAGGACAAUGAGCAUCGCGGAGGCGCAGUUUGUGAUGGCGAAGGCGUCAAGGUGCCCAGUCUCGUUGGCGACAGCCACACCAUUGCCCAUAAUAUAACCUGAGCCCUUACUGGAAAAGCAUUGGGUGUAAAAUCAGCUAUCAGAACCAAUUAUAAGAUGUGGUCUUAUUUGAUUGCAAAGAGUAAGGAAGGCGGGGUUACUAAUGUUGCCACCAAUGUUCAAUGAUGCCACCAAUGUUCUUCAGAGUUGGGACCCAACUCUGGUCAAUCCCUGCACCUGGUUCCAUGUUACCUGUGAUGCUAAUAACCAUGUGAUCCGUUUAACAGUGUAUUAUGUGAGUUUGAGUGAUGAGAGCUGCCAUGUUCCUUGUAUAAAUUGGCAGACUACAUAGGUUUACCUUGCCUGAUAGCUCGUGGUUGCAAGUAUUGUGUGGCAGAUCAUAGGUCUUCUUGUCUUGCUAAAAUUGAAGACAGGCAGCUUGUGAGGUGGAGGAUGGGAAUAAUGAUCUGCCAAUAUUUGAUUGUAAUCCCAGCUUGAUCAACUUCCAAACAGGUCUCACUCCCCUAUUAAUAGUGAUAGACUAACAUAGAAUCACCGACAUCUAACCUGUCUUAUAAAUUUUCUUCUUAUGCAGAGAGGAUAAGCACUUUAUCUUCCUUCAUCAACAGAAUCUUCCUUGUAGUUUGUCCGCCAAACUAUGUAUCUAUUGCAGAAUAAAAUCAUCCCAUUAUACAUGUACAGAUGAAUUGAUGCUUGAAGCUGUAAUUUUGUAUAGAAAUUAAUGCAAUUCCCCAAUAUUUGAAUUUCA